UAUCCUGGGGUGGGGAUUAAAAAAAAAAAAAAAAAAAUCUCCACACUACUUUUCCAUGAUGAGUCUAAGUCAUCAUAAUUGUUAUCUUAGUGACUGGGUAGUAAUCCCAUCAUGAUUUACUUAAAUAUGUUAUUAAACAAGAUGUUUCUUGCACUUCACUGAAAAUAACGGUGACUGCUUAUCAGUUCACAACAAAUUUGCAUAUUAGCUUUAGGCGUAAAGCCACGUUCAGUGGACCCCUGAGGGAGACAACGUAUGCUGAUGCGGAAUCAUGGGUCCUCCACCACCCGUGUCUUUUGGCUUAAAGCAAUUAUGCAAAGCUGGUACACACUGCGGGCCCAGCCAAUCCAGAAACUAAAGGAACGCUGUUGGCAGGCAGCGCGGCCGUGUCUGUAAUGGAUCAGGAAUGCAGACACUGUUUUUAUUGGUACAUGACUGAUCAAGUUCUGUUUUUUUUUUAAAUGACCUGGCCCCUAAGAACCCGAGGACUAAGUUGUGUACUGCCCUCUGCCCCUGAGGAGGGGACCAUGAAACUAACCAGUGUCAUCUGCCCCAGCAGAACAAGGUCAUGAGUUUCCACCCUCUUUGGAAGGGAAUGGAGCACAGGUCAACUUAAUUUUCAGGUCUUUGGUGAAAAGGUUACAAAAUAAGGAAAGCAAGACAGUUUGAUGAAAGUAGUUACAACUUCUGCUGUAGUUGGAAGUUUUAAGGAAGGUUAGGUCCUUUUUGAAAUUGAAUCUGUGUGAGGCCAGAAAUGUAUUUUAUCCUAUUAUUUUCACUCUCAUUUGAUGACCCAGGAAGAUGCGUUAUAUAUUUACCUCUAUGUGACACUGGGCAAUGACUUAAAUGUCUUUGAUUUUUAGGGCUGUUGUUUCCAUUUUCUACCUGGGAAUGAUUACUUCUGGCUUCCCCGUCUCAUGAGAUUGCCGUGAGAAUCCAGUGGGAAAUAAACUGUAAAAUCUUCUCACAAAUGCAAGGUGGAUGCUACUCUUAGUCACUGGUAAUGACGACGGGCGGAAAGUCCCCCGAUAGCAGCAUCAGAUAGUGCGAUGCCCUGUGGGUGUGUCAGACUAGGGUAUGAGGAUGCCAGUUAACAGCAGUGAUUUGUUCUGCCAUGUAGACCUGGCCUAGUCAUUCCACUGUCUGCCUUUACUUGUGAAAAGCGUGUUCCCAUAGGUGCGGAUAAGACUAGGCUAGGUGUUCUGAGCUCACAAGAUGAAGGUCCCUCAUAGAUCUGUCAGAGGGGAAAAAUUCCCUAAUAUUUUUGUCCUCCAGUAACUAACUAUACCAAGACCCGCGAGAAAGUGUCAUCCAAAAUAAAGGGCAUCUCUGUGGCUA